UACGGAGGGUGCAAGCAUUAAUCGGAUUUAUUGGGCGUAAAGGGCGCGUAGGCGGGGGGAAAAGUCAGAUGUGAAAUCCCGGGGCUCAACCUCGGAACAGCAUUUGAAACUGACUCCCUAGAGGGUAGGCGGAGAAAACGGAAUUCCACAAGUAGCGGUGAAAUGCGUAGAUAUGUGGAAGAACACCGGUGGCGAAGGCGGUUUUCUAGCUUAUUCCUGACGCUGAGGCGCGAAAGCAAGGGGAUCAAACAGG
rnacentral:rRNA from 1 species